CGGCCCGCCGGGUCGCCAUCCCGGUGCUGGUGCGGGACGGAAAGCCGUGCGGCCGGGCU
ensembl:miRNA